rnacentral:rRNA from 1 species
CACGUAGGGGGCGAGCGUUGUCCGGAUUUAUUGGGCGUAAAGAGCUCGUAGGCGGCUCAGUAAGUCAGGUGUGAAAACUCCAGGCUCAACCUGGAGACGCCACCUGAUACUGCUGUGGCUAGAGUCCGGUAGGGGAGCAUGGAAUUCCUGGUGUAGCGGUGAAAUGCGCAGAUAUCAGGAGGAACACCAGUGGCGAAGGCGGCGCUCUGGGCCGGAACUGACGCUGAGGAGCGAAAGCGUGGGGAGCAAACAGG